rnacentral:rRNA from 1 species
UACAGGGGGUGCAAACGUUGCUCGGAAUUAUUGGGCGUAAAGCGCGCGUAGGCGGCUACCUAAGUCGGAUGUGAAAGCCCCUGGCUUAACUGGGGAAGUGCACCCGAAACUGGGUAGCUAGAGUGCAAAAGAGGGUCGCGGAAUUCCCGGUGUAGAGGUGAAAUUCGUAGAUAUCGGGAGGAACACCGGUGGCGAAGGCGGCGACCUGGGUUGACACUGACGCUGAGACGCGAAAGCGUGGGGAGCAAACAGG